AGUGAACGCUGGCGGUAGGCCUAACACAUGCCAGUCGAACGGCAGCACAGUAAGAGCUUGCUCUUACGGGUGGCGAGUGGCGGACGGGUGAGGAAUACAUCGGAAUCUACUUUUUCGUGGGGGAUAACGUAGGGAAACUUACGCUAAUACCGCAUACGACCUACGGGUGAAAGCAGGGGAGCUUCGGACCUUGCGCGAUUGAAUGAGCCGAUGUCGGAUUAGCUAGUUGGCGGGGUAAAGGCCCACCAAGGCGACGAUCCGUAGCUGGUCUGAGAGGAUGAUCAGCCACACUGGAACUGAGACACGGUCCAGACUCCUACGGGAGGCAGCAGUGGGGAAUAUUGGACAAUGGGCGCAAGCCUGAUCCAGCCAUACCGCGUGGGUGAAGAAGGCCUUCGGGUUGUAAAGCCCUUUUGUUGGGAAAGAAAAGCAGCAGGUUAAUACCCCGCUGUUCUGACGGUACCCAAAGAAUAAGCGCCGGCUAACCUCGUG
rnacentral:rRNA from 1 species